rnacentral:rRNA from 1 species
UACCAAAGCUGGCGACCGGCGCACGGGUGAGUAACACGUAUCCAACCUGCCUCAUACUCGGGGAUAGCCUUUCGAAAGAAAGAUUAAUAUCCGAUAGCAUAUAUUUCCCGCAUGGGUUUUAUAUUAAAGAAAUUCGGUAUGAGAUGGGGAUGCGUUCCAUUAGUUUGUUGGGGGGUAACGGCCCACCAAGACUACGAUGGAUAGGGGUUCUGAGAGGAAGGUCCCCCACAUUGGAACUGAGACACGGUCCAA